UACAGAGGAGCCAAGCGUUGUCCGGAUUGACUGGGCGUAAAGCGCACGCAGGCGGUAGCGCGCGUGGGGUGUGAAAUCUGGCCGCUUAACGGCCAGGCGCCAUCCCAUACGGCACGACUGGAGUGAUGCAGAGGUCGAUGGAAUUGCCGGUGUAGUGGUGAAAUGCGUAGAUAUCUGGAGGAAUACCGGUGGCGAAGGCGGCAUCCUGGACCGACAUUGACGCUGAACGGCGAAAGCUAGGGGAGCAAACGGG
rnacentral:rRNA from 1 species